UACGGGGGGGGCAAGCGUUGUUCGGAAUUACUGGGCGUAAAGGGCUCGUAGGCGGCCAACUAAGUCAGACGUGAAAUCCCUCGGCUUAACCGGGGAACUGCGUCUGAUACUGGUUGGCUUGAGUGUGGGAGAGGGAUGCGGAAUUCCAGGUGUAGCGGUGAAAUGCGUAGAUAUCUGGAGGAACACCGGUGGCGAAGGCGGCAUCCUGGACUAUUACUGACGCUGAGGAGCGAAAGCCAGGGGAGCAAACGGG
rnacentral:rRNA from 1 species